AAAAGAAACUGCAUUCUGGGGCAUCCUGGGAUUUUUUUUUGUGGUGGGGUGGAGACCCAUAUUUUUCUUACCAGGGAGAGAGCUGCCUGUUUUCCUGUAAGAGCUUGUGCCAUUCCUGCUAAAUAUGAAUAUGUUUUAGAAGACUACAGGAUGAAUGCAGUUCAGACUGAGGCAAGGACAUGCUGAAUGAUAUUCAGUGAUCAUUUAGCAUCUGCUGUAUGAAGAAAAUUGUAAUUAUUGACCUUAGAUUUCAUUUGAAUGUUAUACCACCCUAGUCAGACAGUGCUUUGAUAAUUUUUUUCCUGGACUGCCUAGGAAACACUGUUAGCCUUGCUCAAAAAGAAUCCAGCCUCAUGGAGAGAAACCAAGAAGAAACUCUGAGGGCUACACUCCUCUACCAGGAGGUCUGCUUGGCAGCUCAGAGACUGGAUCUCUUCCUUCAAAAAGAAAAUGCCCACAAAGAGGUUUUUAAGCCACACGUCCUGGCUCUCAGAGAGAUGGUUCAGCAAGCCUGCAUUAAACUCAUGUUCCUGCAUCCGGUGGUUUAUGGUAGGAAGGCCGAAGAGCUCUUAUGGAGGAAAAUAUACUCUGACAUUGUCAUGCUGCUCAUGAAGACCAACAAGAAACAAAUGGACACUUUCCAACAUUGGGGAGAGCCCCUGCAGGCUCACCUGAAGGCUGGCCUCAAGUUCUAUGAGCAUCUCUUCCUGUUCCUUCAGGGCCACUAUGAACUGAGGUUACAGAGCUACAUCGACUGGCCUCACAGUGCCAUACACUUGAUUGGCUGUAAGAAAGUGGGACCCACAUCAGCGGAAGAGGCUUCCUGGGCCCGCAUGGCCUGUCAUCGCUGCCUGCUCUACCUGGGAGACUUGUUCCGGUAUCAGCAUGAGUUCCUAGACCUGGCCACCAAGAACUUGGCAGAGAGAUGUUACUACAAAGCCUUGUCAGUGGCCCCGAAUAUGGGAAUGCCCUUCAACCAACUGGGUGCUCUCAUGGGGAGUAAGUAUUAUGGUCUGGAAGCCACAUACUACUAUCAGCGCUGCCUCCACGCUGAAGUGCCUUUUAAAGGAGCAGCUUGGAACCUCAAACGGCUCUAUGAUCAUGCCGGAAAGAGAUACAGUUGUCUGAAGAGGUACCAGGGAAGGAAACUGUCUCACAGCCAAAGGCAAUGUUGGGACAACAAAAGGCUUCUGGUUAGCUUCCUUUACCUUCAGAGUCUCCUGCAGCCCAAGAGAAAAUUCAAAGCGCCAAGGCUUAUAGCCUUGUGCCAACUGGUUCUUGAUGACUUCCGUCUUUGUCUUUCCUACAGGCCGCAUCAAUCUGGCCUGUGCCAGGCUUCCACAGAAGACAAGCCUCCUAAAGGCUAUCUGUUUCUUCCGGACUUCCUCAUCUUCCACAUGGUGGUUCUUUGUCUCAUGAAUGUGCACAGCCUGAGGAAAUCAGGCGCAAAACAGCAAAAACCAGCUGUCAUCUUCACCCUGACUCUUUUCUCUUAUCUAGUACAACAUGUGAACACACGGAUCCAGGCUGAGCUGCAGAAGAGGAAGUUGACUCCAGAAGAGGCUGCUCCCAGAGAUGGACGCUGGGACAAAGAGCCUGGAAAGGAACAACAUCAAGAAUUUCCAUCUCCUGGGCUCCAGAACAGCCACUCUCAGAAAAUCCAAAAGUGGUCUGGUAUUUGUCGAGAGAGUGAGUCCAGUUUUCAUUCCUAUUGUGACUCAGAUGAGACAGAGGAAGAUGAAAACUCAUCCUUAAGUUCCCAGGCACAAUCGGACACAAGCAGUGAGACAUCCCACUCUGAUACAACAGAUGAAGAAGGGAGUGGGUCCUUGGGUUCAGAGGAAAUUCAGAAGAGUGGGGGUCCACCCAAAUCUAAAAGCACUCAUUCCCGAAGCAAACUGAAAGCAUAUGUACCUCCUGACAGUUUCCUUGAUCUCUUGAAAACAGCUAUUUCUUCUAGCCUGCCAGCUCCUUUGAGCCAAAACCUCCAAGGAAAACAUGCCUCGCCUUUGGGUCCUGUCUUCAGUCAUAAUGUUCUAACACCUCAGACUGAUCCAAGCCCUGCUGUCAGUAGUUCCUUGGGCACUGAAGGUGAGAUGAGCAGCUUUCCUGAGACAGAAUUCCACACGGAUUCCUCUUGGGAGCAGAAGUCCUUCAUCACCCAGAAUAAUCUCCAGACCACUCAGUGGAAACUGGACAUUCUUUCUGGAGAGGGACUGUUGCCUACCAUCAAGGUGAUUCUGAGCUGGCUCCGCAGCAAUCACAGCCUCCUCUUGUCACAUUGGAGGAGUGGAUGUAGUUUGUGGGACCAUCUCUGCGUGUUGCUGAACCUGUUGCCCUCAGUGGGGGACCUUCAACAUCCGGGCCUUUGCCUGUCUCACCAUCUCCAGGACUUGCUGCAGAGCUGUCAAUGGCCAAAUACUCCCAAGUACCUUCAGCUCCCUGAGGACAUAGCCCUGUUCCAACAGUCCCCUCCUCAAGUGUCCCAGGACAGGGCAGGCUUAGGGCAGGAUCCACCUCAACUCACCAACCAGGAGGAAGUUAUUAUGCGUAUUUGUUUCUUCAGAAGCUUUGGUCACUUUGCAACAAGACUCCCAGGACAGUUCUUGAGGUUUGACUCUAAGCUGGGUGUCUUUGUGACUAGUACCCUUGAAAGAUCAGAAAGUGCAACUCAGCAGCUUCCAAGAACAACUCCAAGAAUCAGACUUUCCAAAGACAUAGUCCAGCUCUGGUUACAGCGGGAAGUGGCUUUGCUAGAGAAAACUUUUCGAGGUCCCCAGACUCGGUCAGUGUUGACCCCUUACCUGUUCCCUGACCCCAGGGCCCUCUGUGAGCAUCUUUCAGUCAUACAGAAACUAGCCACUAGUGCUAAGUUUUUUCUUAUCAUACCCAAGAUUGUGGUUGACACACUAUACAUCCUAAAAUGGGAAGACCGCAGGGCCUUGGCAGCCAUCACUUUUCUAGAGGAUGAGUUAAAGAGAAGGAAUCAGUACAUUCUCUGCCAGUCCUUUGUGUCCAAGAGGUUGGUGAGACCCAGGAUGACUAAACCAGACUCUGAUGCCUGGGAUCUCUACAAUAUUCUUGAGUUCUGCAAAAGUCUGUUGGAUUCAUCCAGACCAGGGAUCCUGGAUCCCAGCAGCAUGGUGACGAUUAUUACUGGCGUAUGUUUGGAACACCCUAGAAAUUUCGCAUACCCAUUGCAGCUGGUUCUGGGGAUGGCAGCUGAAGCUGGUGUGGAAAUCAAGAACGUCCUGAGUUUCCACAAAGAAUGGAGGGUGAUCAGUUGACAUUCUCACACAUUCCUGUUUCUUGUCUUUCCAGUGUUUUCCACUCAAAUUCAAUGUGCUUCUCCCUCAUAAGCACCUAAUGCUGAGGUAGGCAUUGCGUACAUGAGUAUUUACGUCUACCCAUAGGUAGAGUUGUAGUGUAACAGCUUUCUGAGGCCUUCCUGUUUCCUGUUUAGCCAUCUUAGCACUGUAUUAUGCUUCCUCUGGAAAAAAGGUCAACAAUAACUCAUUGUUUAGUGAUCUUACAGCAAAGCACCAAAUUCAUACAUCACUCCUGUGUCCAAAUGGAUGUUCUGUGAUUUUAAUCAAGUCUUUUUCUGACAUGCAACUUUUAUGUAUAUUGUUUUAUUAUGGUGGGGCAGAGUCUGUUAUUGAUGGCACAACUCUACCAUCUAUUAAAGUCAAUAAAUAUAAAUCUAAAGUUUCA